rnacentral:rRNA from 1 species
AGAGGGUGAUUCUGGCUCAGGAUGAACGCUGGCGGCAUGCCUAAUACAUGCAAGUCGAACGAAGUCUUUAGGAAGCUUGCUUCCAAAGAGACUUAGUGGCGAACGGGUGAGUAACACGUAGGUAACCUGCCCAUGUGCCCGGGAUAACUGCUGGAAACGGUAGCUAAAACCGGAUAGGUAUGAGGGAGGCAUCUUCCUCAUAUUAAAGCACCUUCGGGUGUGAACAUGGAUGGACCUGCGGCGCAUUAGCUGGUUGGUGAGGUAACGGCCCACCAAGGCGAUGAUGCGUAGCCGACCUGAGAGGGUGAACGGCCACAUUGGGACUGAGACACGGCCCAAACUCCUACGGGAGGCAGCAGUAGGGAAUUUUCGUCAAUGGGGGAACCCUGAACGAGCAAUGCCGCGUGUGUGAAGAAGGUCUUCGGAUCGUAAAGCACUGUUGUAAGUGAAGAAUGCCAUAUAGAGGAAAUGCUAUGUGGGUGACGGUAGCUUACCAGAAAGCCACGGCUAACUACGUGCCAGCAGCCGCGGUAAUACGUAGGUGGCAAGCGUUAUCCGGAAUCAUUGGGCGUAAAGGGUGCGUAGGUGGCACGAUAAGUCUGAAGUAAAAGGCAACAGCUCAACUGUUGUAUGCUUUGGAAACUGUCGAGCUAGAGUGCAGAAGAGGGCGAUGGAAUUCCAUGUGUAGCGGUAAAAUGCGUAGAUAUAUGGAGGAACACCAGUGGCGAAGGCGGUCGCCUGGUCUGUAACUGACACUGAUGCACGAAAGCGUGGGGAGCAAAUAGGAUUAGAUACCCUAGUAGUCCACGCCGUAAA